rnacentral:rRNA from 1 species
UACGAAGGGGGCUAGCGUUGCUCGGAAUCACUGGGCGUAAAGCGCACGUAGGCGGGUUCUUAAGUCGGUGGUGAAAUCCUGGAGCUCAACUCCAGAACUGCCUCCGAUACUGAGAGCCUCGAGUCCGGGAGAGGGUGAGUGGAACUGCGAGUGUAGAGGUGAAAUUCGUAGAUAUUCGCAAGAACACCGGUGCGAAGGCGGCUUUCUGGACAGAUACCGACGCUGAGGCACGAAAGCUAGGGGGAGCAAACAGG